rnacentral:snRNA from 1 species
GUGCUCACUUUGCCAGCACCCACAUGUACUAAAACUGGAACGAUGCAGAGAAGUUACCUUGGCCCCUGUGCAAGGAUGACAUGCAAAUUUGUAAAUAAUUCCAUUUUUAA